rnacentral:rRNA from 1 species
GGAUUGUAGGCUGCAACUCGCCUACAUGAAGUCGGAAUCGCUAGUAAUCGCGGAUCAGCAUGCCGCGGUGAAUACGUUCCCAGGCCUUGUACACACCGCCCGUCACACCAUGAGAGUUUGUAACACCCAAAGCCGGUGGGGUAACCUUUUGGAGCCAGCCGUCUAAGGUGGGACAGAUGAUUGGGGUGAAGUCGUAACAAGGUAUC